rfam:Ancylostoma duodenale strain Zhejiang A_duodenale-1.0_Cont17577.1, whole genome shotgun sequence.
CCAACGGCCCUCUUUAGGGCCACAAAUCUUCACGGAUGGUUGAAU